rnacentral:rRNA from 1 species
UACGAAGGGGGCUAGCGUUGCUCGGAAUGACUGGGCGUAAAGGGCGCGUAGGCGGUUCGUACAGUCAGACGUGAAAUUCCCGGGCUCAACCUGGGGGCUGCGUUUGAUACGUGCGGGCUUGAGUUCGGAAGAGGGUCGUGGAAUUCCCAGUGUAGAGGUGAAAUUCGUAGAUAUUCGGAAGAACACCAGUGGCGAAGGCGACUCACUGGCCCGAUACUGACGCUGAGGCGCGAAAGCGUGGGGAGCAAACAGG